rnacentral:rRNA from 1 species
GAUGAACGCUGGCGGCGUGCCUAAUACAUGCAAGUAGAACGCUGAAGCUUGGUGCUUGCACCGAGCGGAUGAGUUGCGAACGGGUGAGUAACGCGUAGGUAACCUGCCUCUUAGCGGGGGAUAACUAUUGGAAACGAUAGCUAAUACCGCAUAAAAGUCGAUAUCGCAUGAUAUUGAUUUGAAAGGUGCAAAUGCAUCACUAAGAGAUGGACCUGCGUUGUAUUAGCUAGUUGGUGAGGUAACGGCUCACCAAGGCGACGAUACAUAGCCGACCUGAGAGGGUGAUCGGCCACACUGGGACUGAGACACGGCCCAGACUCCUACGGGAGGCAGCAGUAGGGAAUCUUCGGCAAGGGGGGCAACCCUGACCGAGCAACGCCGCGUGAGUGAAGAAGGUUGUCGGAUCGUAAAGCUCUGUUGUAAGAGAAGAACGAGUGUGAGAGUGGAAAGUUCACACUGUGACGGUAACUUACCAGAAAGGGACGGCUAACUACGUG